GUCUUCUACAUAGACUAUUAGAUUUCUUCUCUUUCUUCUCCACCACGAGCUCCUUCAACAAUGGACUGCAACAAUCCUCAGUCCUUUCUCCUUCUAAAAUCCCAAUAUGUUAAAUCUCAAAUCGCCAUUAGCAUCGAUUUGUUAUAUUUCUCGCGUCACCUGAUUUAGUACAAAGAUAUGAAGUUUAUGGACUUCGAUUCGCUAUAUGAUCCGUCUAUAUAUUCAAUCUUAUUCAAUCUUAUAGGAUUUAUCGGUGAGGAUAAAAUUGAAUUGUAAGGUUUUUUCUAUUGAAUUGUGUGUGUGCAGUGAUUUAUCGGUGGGGAUAGAAUUGAAUUAUAAGGUUUUUGUUGAUGAUUUUUGUGUGUGUUGUUUUAAUUCAAAGCCCUUUUUUCUUUCGAGAACUUUAUAUACAUACACAUUGACGAGUGUCGCCAUAAAACCUCUGCUUCGGCUCCAGCAAAACCCUAAUCAGAUUCUUCGUCUCAAAAAGUGAGAAGGUUUACACCACUAAGAUUCAAGGAGGGCAAGUGCGUCAGUGAUCAGAUACAAUGUCAGCUUUGUUCAAUUUCCAUUCAUUCCUGACGGUGGUGCUGCUUGGUGGAUCUGAACUUGCACUUAUCUGAAAUUGCAGUUCCCUGCUAUUUUGGAGCAGAAAACUGGGUUUGUACAAUCCAUGUUAUAAAGGGUGAAAAAGGUUAUCCCUUCCACGCACCUCUCAUUUAUUUUGGUCAACUAAGAAAAUGCAUCAUCAACAUGUCAUCAAGCGUUACACACAAUUAAGAUUCUAAGAUUUGUGUAUUUAUUUAUAUUCUUAACUCCAGUACUUGACUCUCAUAUCUUGCUUGAGAUUUUAAUUUUCUACUAUUAAAACGGAAAUUGGACUAAACCAUUCUCACUCCACAUUAUGUCGUUUAGCCUUUCUAUAGGACUACUAUAAUUCCUAUCACACCAUCCACAAACACGAAUUCAUCCUUCCACCUUGAUUAAAAAAAAAACUGAAACUUUAUAUUUUGAGAAAGUGUCUUACGUUGAUGUUGUUGUCAUUCCU